GAGAGUUAAACAGUACGUGAAAUUGUUGAAAGGGAAACGAUUGAAGCCAGUCGUACCUUCGGGUAAUCAGCCUUUCGGGUGCGAUUCUGUGGGGCGUGAGGAGCUUAACCGCCUUCAUGUUUUGCAUAUUCGUGCACAUUUGGUGUACUUGUCCGUGUGGUGGGUUAACAUCAAUUUCGGUCGUCAUAAAAUGAUUGGAGGAAUGUAGCUUUGAUCUCGUAUCGAAGUGUUAUAGACUCUGGUAGAUGUGACGAUUGGGAUUGAGGAUUGCAACGGAUACCCCUUUGGGGGCUACCCGUCUGAUCUCUGAAGGUUGCUCCGGUGCCGAAAGCGUGCUUACGGUCAUCGAAAGUGAUUUUCAAAAGGUUAGAACGGGUUAAAUUCGUUAAGGAUGUUGACGUAAUGGCUUUAAACGA
rnacentral:rRNA from 1 species